CCGCGCCUCUGGGCAGACGGGCGGAGGAAAAGGAAGCGUUCGUCAGGGACACUCUUUCCACGUUCCCAUUGAUGCUGCUGAGGAAGCAGUCUCAGCCCCUCUCCAGGGUAGUGUCUGUAUACCACUACUCUAACAAGGCGCCUGGAGGGCAGAAGGAUUCUUAUUCUCGCCCUCUGGGCCUUCCCCUUUAACCUAAAGGAGUCACGCGAGAGGCUACUCAACGCACACCAUAGGUCCGCUGAACUGCAGGGUGGGACCUGAAUCCGGGUCACCAGGAAAACCAGCCUCUGCUCUCUAGAGGAUUUAACUUGAACCUGGACCGGUUCCGACUCCUUUCCCGAGCCCUCCUGACGUCACGGGACGUUCUGGGCCUUUCCUGAACCAGAACUGGACUACGGGUCCCAGCGUGCAUUGCGCGCAGCCACUCACUGGAUUCGAGGCAUCUUGGGAUUUGUAGUCUUAGAGAUGUUGAGGGUUUUUUUUUUUACAAGUCGAAGGCAAGACCCUCCAGGAAAAAGAUUACAGCUCACUAGAUUACAAUGGUCUGGAAUCAGACCGUCAAUUUCUCCAUGAUUAUGCCAGUUCCUCCAGUUUCAACCUCUUCCAGGAAUGGAAUUUUAAACCAAUCAGUCUGGAAUGUCCUGGUUAACCCUAGUGAGGCAAACCUCACUUUGUUGUGCUACACUUGAUAGCACUUCGCAGAUGUUGCAUUUUCUUACAAAUGGGAGGCAAGAUCCUCCACUAGCAGAAAGAUGAUGACUGACUUUAUUGUGAUACGUGCUUUAAUGCAACGGUCUGGAGCCAAACUUGCAUUAUCUCUGAGGUAUGCCUUGAAAACCUUCCAUUUUGUACAACUCUUCACAGCUCCCUUCUAGUUGUUAGGGAGGAUGCUUCCCGAUUCAUGGAUUGUUUUAUAAUGCCAAUUAGAUCUUCAAAUUUGCUCAACUGAAUUU